rnacentral:rRNA from 1 species
UACGUAGGGUGCGAGCGUUAAUCGGAAUUACUGGGCGUAAAGCGUGCGCAGGCGGUUUUGUAAGCCAGAUGUGAAAAUCCCCCGGGCUUAACCUGGGAAUGGCAUUUGGGACUGCAAGGCUCGAGUGCGGCAGAGGAGACUGGAAUUCCUGGUGUAGCAGUGAAAUGCGUAGAUAUCAGGAGGAACACCGAUGGCGAAGGCAGG